rnacentral:sRNA from 1 species
UCAAAGGUUUGCUAGGGUUCCGCUGGGAAGACUAGGACUGGUCCAAGAGCAAACGGCUCACGAUUGAGCUACACGGAAGGAUAAAAGCCUGGGAGAU